rnacentral:rRNA from 1 species
CCCUAAUCCAUGCAAGUCGAGCGGACAGAAGGGAGCUUGCUCCCGGAUGUUAGCGGCGGACGGGUGAGUAACACGUGGGUAACCUGCCUGUAAGACUGGGAUAACUCCGGGAAACCGGAGCUAAUACCGGAUAGUUCCUUGAACCGCAUGGUUCAAGGAUGAAAGACGGUUUCGGCUGUCACUUACAGAUGGACCCGCGGCGCAUUAGCUAGUUGGUGGGGUAAUGGCUCACCAAGGCGACGAUGCGUAGCCGACCUGAGAGGGUGAUCGGCCACACUGGGACUGAGACACGGCCCAGACUCCUACGGGAGGCAGCAGUAGGGAAUCUUCCGCAAUGGACGAAAGUCUGACGGAGCAACGCCGCGUGAGUGAUGAAGGUUUUCGGAUCGUAAAGCUCUGUUGUUAGGGAAGAACAAGUGCGAGAGUAACUGCUCGCACCUUGACGGUACCUAACCAGAAAGCCACGGCUAACUACGUGCCAGCAGCCGCGGUAAUACGUAGGUGGCAAGCGUUGUCCGGAAUUAUUGGGCGUAAAGGGCUCGCAGGCGGUUUCUUAAGUCUGAUGUGAAAGCCCCCGGCUCAACCGGGGAGGGUCAUUGGAAACUGGGAAACUUGAGUGCAGAAGAGGAGAGUGGAAUUCCACGUGUAGCGGUGAAAUGCGUAGAGAUGUGGAGGAACACCAGUGGCGAAGGCGACUCUCUGGUCUGUAACUGACGCUGAGGAGCGAAAGCGUGGGGAGCGAACAGGAUUAGAUACCUU